ACAAUAAGACGACAAGACCAAGAUGUUUCAACUGUGGAGGAAGCAAUCAUAUUUCGGCUCAAUGUUUUCACAAGGAAAAAGGAGUUAAGUGUUUCCGGUGUAAUGAGUUUGGACACAGAUCUAGUGAAUGUUCAAAACCUGCAAAUCAUCAACAAGUGACCAGUGAAAAUUCCAAAUGGCAGUCAGACAAUCGUCAGCAACGUCAUGCUAGUCCGAAACGAGCGAUGUUCACGGAAACACCCGAACGAUACAAUGUUGCCAACAUGACGCAAUCAACAACUGACUGGAGAUCGAGACCGAACGUAGAACGAAACGCAGAACUGACAGAUGACACUUCUGCCAACUUGAUGGUAUCGGACGUAAACAACAAAAGUGUGAAAACAUCGAGGCCGCUAAAAGAAGUUCAAUUUGUUGACAACAACGCGAUAACUACGUCGGGUCUUAUUGAUACGGGCAGCGAGGUGAACCUUAUGACGGAAGACGUGUACAAAACUAUCGGCUCCCCAAAAUACGACGACGGAAGAUGUUUGACGUUGAGUGGACUCGGACGGACCGAGGUUGUCCCGUUGGGAAAAGUGAUUCUGUCAAUGAAGAUAGACAAUGACUGUUUCAAAAAUGUGUUAUUUUAUGUAGUUAAUAAUAGUUGUUUGCCAUAUAGUGUCAUUUUAGGUCAGGAAUUUUUACAAAGAGUGUGGUUGGUUAUGAAAGACGGAUGUGUGAAAUUAUUACCGAAAGACGAUGAAUGGAUGAAGCAAAUUGAUGUGUUUACGUGUGAAUUGGGUGAUGUUCCAGGUUUUGUGGGUGACAGUCAAUUUAAGGAACAGUUGACUGAAUUAGUGGAAACUUACCAACCACUACAGGUGAAGGAGGCUCCCAUUGAACUCAAAAUAGUGCUUAAAGACGACAUCCCUGUUGCACAGCGCCCAAGACGAGUGUCUCUCAGAGAACAGCAGGUAGUGGAGGAUCAAGUUGAAGAAUGGCUGGCUAAGAACAUCAUUCGGCGCAAAAUAAAGAGCAGGCUUUGGAAAGAUUGAAGGAAGUGCUCAAAGUAGCUUCCGAGUACGGUCUGAAGUUCAAAUGGAGUAAAGCCAAGCUGAUGUGUCGUGAAGUUGAGUAUCUGGGGCACAUGAUCAGAGAUGGUUAGGUACGCCCGUCUCCAGAUAAGGUAGAUGCUGUGGUAAAGUAUCCUGAACCUAGCACACUUAAGCAGCUUCACAGUUUCAUAGGAUUAACAUCCUACUUUCGGAAAUACAUAGAAAACUAUGCAAUAAUUGCAAAGCCGUUGACAGAUUUGUUGAAGAAGAAUAGUAACUUCACAUUUGAUGAUGAACAUAGGAGAGCAUUUACUAUGUUGAAGGAGAAAAUGAACCGAUGGCGUGGUAUAAGCAUGUGAGCAGAGUGCAGAGAGCACUUAAUAGUACAUUCCAGCGUAGUAUUGGAACCACCCCGUUUGAAUUGUUGGUUGGAACCAGAAUGAAGAACAAGGAGGACUUUGAGCUCUAUGAUAUAUUGGCACAAGAAUCUCAAUGCUGUUUUAUGCAAGAAAGGGAUGAUCUAAGGAAAUCAGCUAAAGAAUGCAUACUAAAAAUACAAGAAGAAAAUAGGAGAACUUUUAACAGAAAGCGUAAGGAGAGCAUCAAAUAUAAAGCAGGUGAUCUUGUGGUAAUAAAAAGAACACAGUUUGGGGUGGGAAUGAAAUUGAGACCCAAGUUUUUAGGUCCAUAUCAAGUAGUGAAAGCUACAGGUACAGAUCGGUACCAGGUAGAGAAGGUAACCGACUCUACCGAAGGACCCAGAGUAACCACCACCUCAUGUGAUCAUAUGAAGAGAUGGCCAGCAGGUAAGAAAGAUGAUGAAUGAAUGGAUUUAGAGUUCUUAGUUAAGUUAAUAUGAUAUUUUUAAGUUGUGUUUGAAUGGGAAGAAUAAAAGACUAAAGUAGUUUGAUAUUAUUUAUUU